rnacentral:rRNA from 1 species
UACGUAGGGUGCAAGCGUUACUCGGAAUUACUGGGCGUAAAGGGUGCGUAGGUGGUUGUUUAAGUCUGUUGUGAAAGCCCCGGGCUCAACCUGGGAAUGGCAAUGGAUACUGGACAGCUAGAGUGCGGUAGAGGGUAGUGGAAUUCCCGGUGUAGCAGUGAAAUGCGUAGAGAUCGGGAGGAACACCAGUGGCGAAGGCGGCUACCUGGACCAGCAUUGACGCUGAGGCGCGAAAGCCAGGGGAGCAAACGGG